ACAAUUAGCUGUUGGGACACUAGAUGUCUUAGUAGCGAAGCUAACGCGUGAAAUUGUCCGCCUGGGGAGUACGGUCGCAAGAUUAAAACUCAAAGGAAUUGACGGGGACCCGCACAAGCGGUGGAUGAUGUGGAUUAAUUCGAUGCAACGCGGAGAACCUUACCUGGUCUUGACAUGUACGGAAUCUCUUAGAGAUAGGAGAGUGCCUUCGGGAGCCGUAACACAGGUGCUGCAUGGCUGUCGUCAGCUCGUGUCGUGAGAUGUUGGGUUAAGUCCCGCAACGAGCGCAACCCUUGUCAUUAGUUGCCAUCAUUAAGUUGGGCACUCUAAUGAGACUGCCGGUGACAAACCGGAGGAAGGUGGGGAUGACGUCAAGUCCUCAUGGCCCUUAUGACCAGGGCUUCACACGUCAUACAAUGGUCGGUACAGAGGGUAGCGAAGCCGCGAGGUGAAGCCAAUCUCAGAAAGCCGAUCGUAGUCCGGAUUGCACUCUGCAACUCGAGUGCAUGAAGUCGGAAUCGCUAGUAAUCGCAGGUCAGCAUACUGCGGUGAAUACGUUCCCGGGUCU
rnacentral:rRNA from 1 species